CUUGUGUAGGCAACAUUGGAGAAACAAGUCCACGGGCACACUGCACACAGGUAGCCACGUAGGUACGUAGCGCCGUCUUCUUUUAUGUAUAACAUAUCACCUUGACCAGUUCAAAGGGGAAACGCUCAUGGAAGAUGCGGUUGAUCUUUGCUCCACCAGACAGCUCCACUGUGUCCACCUGAUCUCCUGAACCUUCGAUCCUUUUCUCAAAGUCCACAGAGAACUGCUGCACCAUCCUGAAACAACAGUGUAAAAUAUAUAAUAAAUAAAAGACCGUUAAUGA